rnacentral:rRNA from 1 species
CCUACGGGAGGCUGCAGUGGGGAAUAUUGCACAAUGGGCGCAAGCCUGAUGCAGCCAUGCCGCGUGUGUGAAGAAGGCCUUCGGGUUGUAAAGCACUUUCAGCGGGGAGGAAGGCGGUGAGGUUAAUAACCUCAUCGAUUGACGUUACCCGCAGAAGAAGCACCGGCUAACUCCGUGCCAGCAGCCGCGGUAAUACGGAGGGUGCAAGCGUUAAUCGGAAUUACUGGGCAUAAAGCGCACGCAGGCGGUCUGUCAAGUCGGAUGUGAAAUCCCCGGGCUCAACCUGGGAACUGCAUUCGAAACUGGCAGGCUAGAGUCUUGUAGAGGGGGGUAGAAUUCCAGGUGUAGCGGUGAAAUGCGUAGAGAUCUGGAGGAGUACCGGUGGCGAAGGCGGCCCCCUGGACAAAGACUGACGCUCAGGUGCGAAAGCGUGGGGAGCAAACAGGAUUAGAUACCCCUGUAGUC